UUGAUCCUGGCUCAGGAUGAACGCUGGCGGCGUGCUUAACACAUGCAAGUCGAACGAAGCGCCUGCUUUGAAUUCCUUCGGGAAGGAAAAGUUUGCGACUGAGUGGCGGACGGGUGAGUAACGCGUGGGCAACCUGCCCCGCACUGGGGGACAACAGCUGGAAACGGCUGCUAAUACCGCAUAAGCGCACGGCUUCGCAUGAAGCAGUGUGAAAAACUCCGGUGGUGCGGGAUGGACCCGCGUCUGAUUAGCUGGUUGGCGGGGUAACGGCCCACCAAGGCGACGAUCAGUAGCCGGCCUGAGAGGGUGGACGGCCACAUUGGGACUGAGACACGGCCCAGACUCCUACGGGAGGCAGCAGUGGGGAAUAUUGCACAAUGGGGGAAACCCUGAUGCAGCGACGCCGCGUGAGCGAAGAAGUAUUUCGGUAUGUAAAGCUCUAUCAGCAGGAAAGAAAAUGACGGUACCUGACUAAGAAGCUCCGGCUAAAUACGUGCCAGCAGCCGCGGUAAUACGUAUGGAGCAAGCGUUAUCCGGAUUUACUGGGUGUAAAGGGA
rnacentral:rRNA from 1 species